rnacentral:rRNA from 1 species
GGGGGGGGGGGGGGGGGGGGGUGGGGCGGGCGGGUCGAGCGGUAGGGCCCCGGGGGGCUGGGGGAGGCGGGUGGCGAACGGGUGAGUAACACGGGGUUGACCGGUCCCGCACUUCGGUAUACGCCUGGGAACCUGGGUCUAAUCGCGGACACGCCCGCACCCGGCCGGGGUGGUGGAAAGUUUUGCGGUGUGGGAUGCGCCCGCGGCCUCUCAGCGGGGUGGUGGGGUAAUGUCGUACAAAGCCGGCGACGGGUAGCCGGCCUGACAGGGUGGACGGCAACAUUGGGACUGAGACACGGACCAGACUCCUACGGGAGGCAGCAGUGGGGAAUAUUGCACAAUGGGCGGAAGCCUGAUGCAGCGACGCCGCGUGGGGGAUGACGGCCUUCGGGUUGUAAACUCCUUUCACCAUCGACGAAGGUUUUCUGACGGUAGAUGGAGAAGAAGCACCGGCUAACUACGUG